UGCAUGAAAAUUUAUUUUGAGUAGGCCGAGAGUUCUAUUUGCUUUGUUGGACACUUGACUAAUAUGUGUCACCCAACUUAAAUCUUUGCUUAAUUCGAUUCCUAGAUAUGGGUGAUGGUCGACAGCAAGCAAUGUAUGGCUGCCCAUGUUGUAUUCCGAUAAAAGUGGUUUAAUCUUGUGUGAGACAUGCAUGGUAUGACAUUUGGUUUUGAACGAAAUCU